AAAAACAUAGCCUUUAGCAACAAGAGUAUUAAAGGUGACGCCUGCCCAGUGAUUCAUUAAACGGCCGCGGGAUCCUCCACCGUGCAAAGGUAGCAUAAUCACUUGUCCCCUAAAUAGAGACUAGUAUGAAUGGCCAAAUGAAGAUUUACCUGUCUCUUAUAGUCAAUCUAUGAAACUAAUCUUUUAGUACAAAAGCUAAAAUAUAGACACAAGACGAAAAGACCCUGUGGAACUUUCUAAAUGACAAACAAUAAAUGUUUACAUCGCUUUUAGUUGGGGCAACUUUGGAAAAAAAUACAACUUCCAAUUACUACUUAAGGUGGACACACCAACAAUACCCUUAAUGACCCAGUAAUACUGAUUAAAGAAACAAGCUACCCCAGGGAUAACAGCGCCAUCCCCUCUUAGAGCCCCCAUCGAUGAGGGGGUUUACGACCUCGAUGUUGGAUCAGGGCCCCCAAACAGUGCAGAAGCUGUUAACGGUUUGUUUGUUCAACAAUUAAUGCCCUACGUGAUCUGAGUUCAGACCGGA
rnacentral:rRNA from 1 species